AUGGCGUUUUUGGUUCGUAAUGCCUUGCGACCAUUCGUACGUCAUUAUUGUGCGUCUUUACACGAGAAACAUCGGUUUUGUCCACAUACGAGUGUGAGCUGAUGUUAAGUUAACGUGAGACAUGGCACCUUUAAAACAAAACGCAAAAAGUAAAGGUCUGAUUAGAGGAAAAUACUUUAAUAACAAAUUUGUACAUGGUGGUUUAUCACACAACGCCAAAAGGAAAAGAAAAUGGGUUCCGGAGAACGAAAGUUUUUGAUGGUGGAUUAAAAGAGGCUCCCACAAGAAGCAGAAAAUGUCAUCGUAUCAGAAGACAAAGCAAGAAUAUGAAAGGAUAAAGGAGGAACGAGCACGAAAAAGAGAGCUCUCUAACCUGAGAGAAGCUCAUCAGCAUUUUCAUACCCAGAAUGCAGUUCUUCAGAGAUGAGACUCCCUGUUAAAGGAGACCAGA